GGCAAAUUGAUACCGUAACUUCGGGAGAAGGUAUGCCCUCUAAGGUUAAGGACUUGCUCCGUAAGCCCUGGAGGGUCGCAGAGAAUAGGUGGCUGCGACUGUUUAUUAAAAACACAGCACUCUGCUAACACGAAAGUGGACGUAUAGGGUGUGACGCCUGCCCGGUGCUGGAAGGUUAAUUGAAGAUGUGCAAGCAUCGGAUCGAAGCCCCAGUAAACGGCGGCCGUAACUAUAACGGUCCUAAGGUAGCGAAAUUCCUUGUCGGGUAAGUUCCGACCCGCACGAAUGGCGUAACGAUGGCCACACUGUCUCCUCCUGAGACUCAGCGAAGUUGAAGUGGUUGUGAAGAUGCAAUCUACCCGCUGCUAGACGGAAAGACCCCGUGAACCUUUACUGUAGCUUUGCAUUGGACUUUGAAGUCACUUGUGUAGGAUAGGUGGGAGGCUUUGAAGCAGAGACGCCAGUCUCUGCGGAGCCGUCCUUGAAAUACCACCCUGGUGUCUUUGAGGUUCUAACCCAGACCCGUCAUCCGGGUCGGGGACCGUGCAUGGUAGGCAGUUUGACUGGGGCGGUCUCCUCCCAAAGCGUAACGGAGGAGUUCGAAGGUUACCUAGGUCCGGUCGGAAAUCGGACUGAUAGUGCAAUGGCAAAAGGUAGCUUAACUGCGAGACCGACAAGUCGAGCAGGUGCGAAAGCAGGACAUAGUGAUCCGGUGGUUCUGUAUGGAAGGGCCAUCGCUCAACGGAUAAAAGGUACUCCGGGGAUAACAGGCUGAUUCCGCCCAAGAGUUCAUAUCGACGGCGGAGUUUGGCACCUCGAUGUCGGCUCAUCACAUCCUGGGGCUGUAGUCGGUCCCAAGGGUAUGGCUGUUCGCCAUUUAAAGUGGUACGUGAGCUGGGUUUAAAACGUCGUGAGACAGUUUGGUCCCUAUCUGCAGUGGGCGUUGGAAGUUUGACGGGGGCUGCUCCUAGUACGAGAGGACCGGAGUGGACGAACCUCUGGUGUACCGGUUGUAACGCCAGUUGCAUAGCCGGGUAGCUAAGUUCGGAAGAGAUAAGCGCUGAAAGCAUCUAAGCGCGAAACUCGCCUGAAGAUGAGACUUCCCUUGCGGUUUAACCGCACUAAAGAGUCGUUCGAGACCAGGACGUUGAUAGGUGGGGUGUGGAAGCGCGGUAACGCGUGAAGCUAACCCAUACUAAUUGCUCGUGAGGCUUGACUCU
rnacentral:rRNA from 1 species